rnacentral:rRNA from 1 species
GACGUAGGGCGCAAGCGUUGUCCGGAUUUAUUGGGCGUAAAGAGCUCGUAGGCGGCUCGUUGCGUCGGCUGUGAAAACCCGCAGCUCAACUGUGGGCUUGCAGCCGAUACGGGCAUCACUGGAGUUCGGCAGGGGAGACUGGAAUUCCUGGUGUAGCGGUGAAAUGCGCAGAUAUCAGGAGGAACACCGGUGGCGAAGGCGGGUCUCUGGGCCGAUACUGACGCUGAGGAGCGAAAGCGUGGGGAGCGAACAGG